GAAGAAGAAAAUGGAACAGGAAAAAAAGCUGAAGAUGAGAAAAGGCACCUGGUCCUGCACACUUAAAAAUGCUGAGUUAUUUCAUAACUCAACUUCUGGGUAAAAGCCGUGGGGUCGUAAGUUGGGUUAGUUUGACCAAAUAUGGGGUUCAAAACUCGUGACUUUAUCAAGUAAAUAAAAACUGCAUAUCUGUGAACUAAUCAUAAGUUAUCUACAGUAUUUUUACAGUUUGUUGGGGGAAAAAAUGUAAGAAGCAAAAUUUUUCCGUUAAAAAAAUUGACUUUUUUGAUGUUAAUUCAUGUAUUUCAAAAUAUCGGGGAAAUUCUGUGAAAAAUACAUGAAGCAUUCUGUUAGAUUACAUACAUUUGGGGGGCGGUUUUUUCUACAGUGCAGGACCAACAACAGUAUUUACCAAAAGUCAGACUCCAUAUUUUCACCUCUUUGGGCUCACUCAGGUCAUUUGAACUGUGUACUGCUACUUAAAGAUGCGGAUUCUGUUUGUUCACAUGACAUAGAGUAGAGGAGGGCACAUGAGCUAAGAAGAUGAGCUGGAUCAUUCAUAUUUCCAUUGAGGUUAGUGCUAUCACGCACAGGGGAUGAUCACAGCACUGCAAUCAGGAAAUUAAAAGGCAACGCAGACAGAACACCACAAACUGCUUCAAAGACCUUUCAACAUGGAAGGAAGAGGUCCUAGACGCAGCCCUCAAAUUCUGCUCUCUGAUGAUGAUAGUGGUCUGUGGAUGAAGAUGGAUUCAAACCAUGUGAGCAACCACACAGAGAGUCCUUCAGCGACCUCUGGUGAAAGGCCACAAGACGAAAUCACAAUGACCUCUGCUGCUCCCACUGCUAUAAUGAGGUACUGCAGUGUGAUGGAUGAUGAAGGUGCAGAUGAUGUCUUCAUCCCUCAACCACCUCCUCCUCCACCUCGCACGGCUACAUCGCUGCCAGCAGAGAAAAGCACAGGUGCAACAGCAAGUAAGUCUGGUGUGACCCUUUCAGUUGACGCAACAGAGGCUGAAGCUAAUCCAAGAGGCUUAGACUUGCCUCAUAGUGAGGAGCAGUUAAUGGUAGCACGAAACGAGCUGGAUGAAGAGGUGACUGCAAGUACAGUGCCGUUGUCUAUGGCCAACAUAUCCAAUGAACAAGACUCCUCUCCACCAACUUAUCAAGAACAGCAAUCCAUGGACGUGACUGGUUGUCUGAUGGAAACUAGUUAUGAUACAGAUGGAAGACCUUACGGGAAUAACGCAACAGAGGAUGACAAACCUGAGGACAUUGUAAUUGUAAGUGAAGAACAGGGAAACUGCUGGGAAGCCAAUACAGAGGAAGACAAUUACCCAAAACAAACACAUUCUGAGAAUCAGAUCCAUUUAGACAAAGAAGGAGACAAAAUAAAACACAAGGACAUUGGUGAUUUUGAUGAAACAGACUCAAAACUAUUAAGAGAAAGUAUAGCUGUUGAGAGUGUGGAGGCAAAUUCUGAUGAUGAUUUCGAGCUCUGCAAAUGCAACCAAAACAGGACCAAUACAGCAACCAGUCAGACACAGGCUGCUGACUUCCAAGCAGAUACGGACAAAGACAAUGAAGAGCAUGAUGACCGUACAUCUUUGGACUAUAACCUCAUAAAGUAUGACUGUGUGAGGAAAGAAAGCGGCAGCACAGAAAUGCAAGUGCUAUCCAGCUCCAAAGGUUCUGAAGAAAGAGAGACAAUGGGGGAGCAAGAGGAUGGAAGUAGGAAAAUAUCUACUGAUAUCCAACAAGGUGAGCAACUGCUUCAUCGUCUGCAGCUGGUACAGCUACGACAUGAUGUGAAAAUGUCAGAGAACCCUCAUACCCAACAGCAGGCUGUCACGAUGGAUGAAAAAAAGGGCAUGUUUGGGACUGAAACAGAGAAUAUACCUGGUGAAGAAGAGAGGGAAGAAGGCAGAUUUGAAACUCUCAAGGACGUGGAAGAAAAGGUGAGCCUGAUGGAAAAGGAAAAUAAUGAGGACAAAGACAUUCAAACAAAAGCAAGGACAUCUUCAUCCACAAUUCCAGGAGAGUCAGAAGAAGACCAGAUUAUUGUCAGAAUAGAUCCGAGUGACUCUAAUGACAAUCAGAGUGAUAGCUGGGAUCCUGCAGAUUUGUCUCCCAGUAACCCUCACGAAACUUCUAAUGAAAUUCCAUUUCUGUCCACUGGACACCGAUUUUCAGCUGCUGAAACCUCCAUGGAGAGGCAGCUCCAUGAAGCAGCCCAGGGGAAGCAGAAGCUGCAGAGAGCUGGGGGUGUUUUCAAUCUUGCAGAAAAUCCAGAUGUGCUGGAGAUUCCCUUUAAGACAGAUGUCUCUCUUGAGUCACUUACUACCAAGGUAGGUACAAGCCAAUGCAACGAGUGGCAAUUCUCUGAACAGAAGAUGCUCAAAGAGAUAAGUCAGGAUAUUCAGAGAGAACUAGUGCUGGUCAAUCAAGGUAAAAUCCCAGGGGGGUACAGCAAAGGAGAGAUCCGCCAGUUAAAAGAGACAAAACUGCUGUUUGAAGCCUUCCAGCAGGACAAUCCGGAGGGUCCAACAAGACACCGUAAAUCCCCCACAACUCUGAGGAAAGGGCAGAUUUACCCUUCAGUGCUAGAGCGCACACGUAGCCUUGAGAUGUUUUCCCUCAAAACUUGUCCUGUUUCCAGAGCACAUUCCCUCAGGCUGUACCAAUCUGCAAACCUUGAGAAGGAAAAAAGUCCUGACAGCAUCAGAUCAAAGAGCCCAACUGGGGGUUCACGAGACAAAACUCGCUUAUCCCCUUACCCAAAACAAGACAAACACAUUCGCCUGUACAGAAGCAUGGACUCUAUAAGCAAUGACGUCUCUACGUUAGCUGUGGAGGGUAAAGCAAAGGCAGCAAACGCAAACAAAGAGUCUUCAAUCCUCAAGCAAAACCCAUUCUUCAAGUUGCGUCCAGCUCUGGCUCUACAACCAGAGGUAGAGAAGGACAUCCGAGAAGCCAAAGAAAGAGAAGAGGAGCUGCGCAAACAGAGACGCACACUGUAUGGAGAGAAGAGACAGAAUAGUGAAGAUGAACAAAAGUCACAAACACUCCCAGCAGACAUCAGAAAACAGUCACGGGGGAAACUGGAGCGGGUUUGGCCACCUCCUUCUAAAAAGGACCAGAUAAAACUGGAGCAGAUAGAGCAGGAGCCAAAAGUUCACCGAGCAGGAGGACAGAAAGCUUCUCUCUGGCAACGCUGGGAGUCCGGCCUGAUCAACGGGAAGCCGUCAAAAGAAAAGAAGUGAUGUUAUCUGUCCUGGUUCUUCAACACUACAAACAGAAUAUCAGCAGCGCUAGACUUAUAGUCAAAAUAACCCAAAUUGUUAUGCUAGUCCCAGCUUCAAGACUUCCUCGCUCUUUUAAUUCUGCUUUGUAUCUGUGACAAAUAUGCUUUUUUGUAUCUUUAUUAUUAUAAAAAAAUUAACAAUACCAGUCCAUAGAUUAUGUUAGGAAAAGCUCUUGGACCAGAACAGCCACUGUUCCAGCUGGUCCAGGAAAUAACUAGCUAGCAUUAGCAGCAACUUCCUGCUCUGUCAGAUUUAGAAAAGUUUACACUUUCAGUUGACAGUUUAACAAAAGAGGGGUCCAAUCUUAUGGAACAACAUGGUUUAUACUUUUUUUAAAAAUGAAUAUUGUACCAUAAACACAACUGUCAGUUAUGUAGACAACACUAUAAAACUAUUUAAGCUAGCCUACUUGUAAAAACUCACAUAAUGUUCUUUACUGAAUGUAGCAUGCCUAAAUCUUCAAGGGUUAACUUUGCAAGAACAAGCAAUAUGAAUAAGAUUAUGGGAUGUAUGGGAUAUAUUCUUGAGCACGGUCACUGUACAAUGUCUGCAGUGACUGUUUACUAAGCCACUCUUACUCUUGGAUUUACGUCUGAGGCCACACAGAGGAGAUUACACUGAUCACAGCUGCUUUGUUCUGCUUGAUGUAUUAUUUGUGGGUUUUGUUGCAUAUUUUCUAACAAACCUAAAGAUCAUCCCAAAACCAAAAAAUCCUAAAUGGAAAAUAAUGAUUAUUCAAAAUAAAUUUACACCGCUUGAUCCAUUGAACUGAAUUGUUUUGGUGCCCUCUAGAGGUUGUUUCAUCUCAGAAUUGAUUCCAAAUUCAAGCUGGUUGAAUAGAAU
ensembl:lncRNA